UGAACAACAGCAGUACCUUCCUCUCUGGUGUCACAGCAGAGGACAGCAAAGAUGAGGUGCUUCUUAACCUGCCUCUGCUUCCUGACACUGUGUCUAGGGGUGCAGUCGGCAGUGGAGCUGGUCCAGUCUGGCGCCGUGGUGAAGAAGCCUGGGGAGACUGUGAAGAUAUCCUGUAAAACCUCCGGGUUCACAUUCACUGAUUACUACAUGACCUGGGUCCAGCAGGCUCCAGGGAAAGGCCUGGUGUGGGUUGGAGAGAUUGACCCUGAAGAUGGUAGUGCCAAGUAUGCAGAAACACUGAAAGGCAGAGUGUCCAUCACCACCGACAACUCCAUCAGCACCGUGUACCUGCAACUCAGCCGCCUGUCGCCUGCAGACACUGCCAUGUAUUACUGUGCUAGACACAGUGGGCAGGAUGCCAUUCACGGCCGUCACUGCACCUACAAGUUUCAUUGCAUGUGCCCAGUAAGUGGGAAAUUUUGUGUAUGCACAAUACCUGUGUGGAUCCACAAUGAAGUGGUAGAAAGAGCUGAAGAACUGUGCAUUAGCGCGAAGGAUGACACCGAGGUGCAUAAGCGGUGA